ACCGCUUCUCGGUCUCUUCAGGCUAAGAUCAAGUGCAGUAUCUUUUCUUAUUGAUUUAAAGCUCAUGUCGCACAUUGUGGAAUUAUCUAUAAAAUUAAUUUUUGAUUCUGGGUGUUGAAUUAUGAGUAUUCUGUGUUCUCCAUGCUUUUCCAUGUCCUGGUAUUGUCAUAUCUCCAGUAUCAGUACCAACU
rnacentral:snRNA from 1 species